UUUUGGCGACCUCCCCCCCGUCGCCAAAAAAAAUUUCGGUCAGUGUGCCAUUUUAGGGGUCCAAAAUUUUUUCGAACAUACCAAAAUUUUUCGGAACAUCAUAUAAAUUUUCCAGACAUCACAAAAUUGACCACAAAAUUAACAGAAUUUCCCACAAAAUUGACAGAAUUUGUCCCAUUUAUUUUUAUAAUAAGCCAAUAUUGCCCGACUGUGGAGCGAAUAUUGCCCGACUGGCUUUGUUUGCCCAACAAACUGGGGGGGGGGGCUGCCGACCCCCCCACCCCCGCCCCCCCGCUCGGU